AGUGAACGCUGGCGGUAGGCCUAACACAUGCAAGUCGAACGGCAGCACAGUAAGAGCUUGCUCUUACGGGUGGCGAGUGGCGGACGGGUGAGGAAUACAUCGGAAUCUACUUUUUCGUGGGGGAUAACGUAGGGAAACUUACGCUAAUACCGCAUACGACCUACGGGUGAAAGCAGGGGAUCUUCGGACCUUGCGCGAUUGAAUGAGCCGAUGUCGGAUUAGCUAGUUGGCGGGGUAAAGGCCCACCAAGGCGACGAUCCGUAGCUGGUCUGAGAGGAUGAUCAGCCACACUGAAACUGAGACACGGUCCAGACUCCUACGGGAGGCAGCAGUGGGGAAUAUUGGACAAUGGGCGCAAGCCUGAUCCAGCCAUACCGCGUGGGUGAAGAAGGCCUUCGGGUUGUAAAGCCCUUUUGUUGGGAAAGAAAAGCAGCAGGUUAAUACCCCGCUGUUCUGACGGUACCCAAAGAAUAAGCACCGGCUAACUUCG
rnacentral:rRNA from 1 species